GUUUGUGCAUCACAACUCAAUAUCUACUGUCCACUACUCCCAAAAGAUUUCUGCAAUAUGCUACACUUCAAAGAUCCUUCUCCAUUAUGAUUCUCCACUCCAUGAACUGUUUUUAUGAAGCAGCACAAAACCAAUAAAAAGGUUUGUGCGUCAAAACCCAAAAUGUACUGUCCACUAUCAAAAGAUUUCUGCAAUAUGCUACACUUCAAAGAUCCUUCUCCAUUAUAUGAUUGUCCGCUCCAUGAACCGUUUUAUGAAGCUGCACAAAAACAAUUAAAAAGUUUUGUGCAGAACAAGUCAAUAACUACUGUCCACUACUCCCAAAAGAUUUUUGCAAGUCGCCACACUUCAAACUUCCUUAUCCAUUAUGAUCCUUCGCUCUAUGAACCAUUUUUAUGA
rnacentral:lncRNA from 1 species